AUUGAACGCUGGCGGAAUGCUUUACACAUGCAAGUCGAACGGCAGCACGGACUUCGGUCUGGUGGCGAGUGGCGAACGGGUGAGUAAUACAUCGGAACGUGCCCAGUCGUGGGGGAUAACGUAGCGAAAGCUACGCUAAUACCGCAUACGAUCUAAGGAUGAAAGCGGGGGAUCGCAAGACCUCGCGCGAUUGGAGCGGCCGAUGGCAGAUUAGGUAGUUGGUGGGGUAAAGGCUCACCAAGCCGACGAUCUGUAGCUGGUCUGAGAGGACGACCAGCGACACUGGGACUGAGACACGGCCCAGACUCCUACGGGAGGCAGCAGGGGGGAAUUUUGGACAAUGGGCGCAAGCCUGAUCCAGCCAUUCCGCGUGAAGGAUGAAGGCCCUCGGGUUGUAAACUGCUUUUGUACGGAACGAAAAGGCUCUGGUUAAUACCCGGGGCUCAUGACGGUACCGUAAGAAUAAGCACCGGCUAACUACGUGCCAGCAGCCGCCGUAA
rnacentral:rRNA from 1 species